UACGUAGGGGGCGAGCGUUGUCCGGAAUUAUUGGGCGUAAAGAGCGUGUAGGCUGUUCGGUAAGUCUGCCGUGAAAACCUGAGGCUCAACCUCGGGCGUGCGGUGGAUACUGCCGGGCUAGAGGACGGUAGAGGCGAGUGGAACUCCUGGUGUAGCGGUGGAAUGCGCAGAUAUCAGGAAGAACACCAACGGCGAAGGCAGCUCGCUAGGACGGUACUGACGCUGAGACGCGAAAGCGUGGGGAGCGAACAGG
rnacentral:rRNA from 1 species